UAUUCCACGCCGUAAACGAUGGAUACUCGGUGCUGCCGGACUUGUCUGGCAGUGCCCAAGCUAACUCAUUAAGUAUCCCACCUGGGGAGUACGAUCGCAAGAUUGAAACUCAAAGGAAUUGACGGGGGCCCGCACAAGCGGUGGAGCAUGUGGCUUAAUUCGAUGCAACGCGAGGAACCUUACCUGGGCUCGAAUGCUACCGGACAAGCUCUGAAAGGAGCCUUCCUUCGGGUCGGUAGUAAGGUGCUGCAUGGCUGUCGUCAGUUCGUGUCGUGAGAUGUUGGGUUAAGUCCCGCAACGAACGCAACCCCUAUCGUUAGUUACCAGCGAGUAAUGUGGGGACUCUAGGAAGACUGCCUCCGUAAGGAGUGAGGAAGGCGGGGACGACGUCAAAUCAUCAUGGCCUUUAUGCCCAGGGCUACACACGUGCUACAAUGGCAAGUACAGAGGGCAGCGAAACCGCGAGGUGGAGCCAAUCCCAGAAAGCUUGUCCCAGUUCGGAUCGGAGU
rnacentral:rRNA from 1 species